AUGUAAUCUGAUCGGAUUAAGUAUGAGUCAUUGUUUAAUAGGAAAGACUCUUAGGAAAGAAGAUGAGUUAGUUAGUGAAGCAGGAAUAAGAAUAAUAGCAAAAUAAUGCUAUUGGGAAGAAAGACUGAUCCAGCUCAAGACGAGUGUCUCAAGAAGCUUGAGGAUAUUUCAGAAUCAACAAAUACUAUUGAGAGAAAGAUUAUGAAAAUUGAACAAGAGCUGGAGGGGAUUGAAAAGUCUGUUAGAUGUACUAGCUGACAGGAAGUCAAAAGGUGGUCUAACUGGUAUUGUGUUAGUUAAUGGACGGCCACAACCAAAAUACUUCAAGUGUAUGAGUGGUUACGUUGUACAGGUACACCAUAGU